UACAGAGGGUGCGAGCGUUAAUCGGAUUUACUGGGCGUAAAGCGCGCGUAGGUGGCUAAUUAAGUCAAAUGUGAAAUCCCCGAGCUUAACUUGGGAAUUGCAUUCGAUACUGGUUAGCUAGAGUAUGGGAGAGGAUGGUAGAAUUCCAGGUGUAGCGGUGAAAUGCGUAGAGAUCUGGAGGAAUACCGAUGGCGAAGGCAGCCAUCUGGCCUAAUACUGACACUGAGGUGCGAAAGCAUGGGGAGCAAACAGGAUUAGAUACCCUGGUAGUC
rnacentral:rRNA from 1 species